rnacentral:rRNA from 1 species
GACGAACGCUGGCGGCGUGCUUAACACAUGCAAGUCGAACGAUGAACCCGGAGCUUGCUCCGGUGGAUUAGUGGCGAACGGGUGAGUAACACGUGAGUAACCUGCCCUUGACUCUGGGAUAACUGCGGGAAACUGUAGCUAAUACCGGAUACGACCCUCGGCGGCAUCGCCAGGGGGUGGAAAGAAUUUCGGUCAAGGAUGGACUCGCGGCCUAUCAGCUCGUUGGUGAGGUAACGGCUCACCAAGGCGACGACGGGUAGCCGGCCGGGGAGGGGGCCCGGCCACAGUGGGACUGAGACACUGCACAGACAACCGCGGGAGGCAUCAGUGGGGAAUAUUGCACGAUGGGCGCCAGCCUGGUGCAGGUACGCGGCGAGAGGGCUGCCGGCCGUCGGGUUGUAAUCCUCAUCUAGUAGGGAAGAAGCGAAAGUGACGGUACCUGCAGAAAAAGCACCGGCUAUCUACGUGCAAGCCGCCGCAGUAC